AUUGAACGCUGGCGGCAUGCUUUACACAUGCAAGUCGAACGGCAGCGCGGGGCAACCUGGCGGCGAGUGGCGAACGGGUGAGUAAUAUAUCGGAACGUACCCAAGAGUGGGGGAUAACGUAGCGAAAGUUACGCUAAUACCGCAUACGAUCUAUGGAUGAAAGCAGGGGAUCUUCGGACCUUGUGCUCCAGGAGCGGCCGAUAUCUGAUUAGCUAGUUGGUGAGGUAAAGGCUCACCAAGGCGACGAUCAGUAGCUGGUCUGAGAGGACGACCAGCCACACUGGAACUGAGACACGGUCCAGACUCCUACGGGAGGCAGCAGUGGGGAAUUUUGGACAAUGGGCGCAAGCCUGAUCCAGCAAUGCCGCGUGAGUGAAGAAGGCCUUCGGGUUGUAAAGCUCUUUUGUCAGGGAAGAAACGGUUGGGGCUAAUAUCCUCGGCUAAUGACGGUACCUGAAGAAUAAGCACCGGCUAACUACGUGCCAGCCGCCGCCGUAACAC
rnacentral:rRNA from 1 species